rnacentral:rRNA from 1 species
CCCUUAGAUGUUCUGGGCCGCACGCGCGCUACACUGAUGCAUUCAACGAGCCUAUCCUUGACCGACAGGUCCGGGUAAUCUUUGAAUCUGCAUCGUGACGGGGAUAGAUUAUUGCAAUUAUUAAUCUUCAACGAGGAAUGCCUAGUAGGCGCAAGUAAUCAGCUUGCGUCGAUUACGUCCCUGCCCUUUGUACACACCGCCCGUCGCUCCUACCGAUUGGGUGUGCUGGUGAAAUGUUCGGAUCGGCCGUUUGUCGCGGUUUCCGCGGCUCGUGGCUGAGAAGUUCAUUAAACCCUCCCACCUAGAGGAAGGAGAAGUCGUAACA